rnacentral:rRNA from 1 species
CGUAAAGCGUGCGCAGGCGGUUUUGUAAGUCUGUCGUGAAAUCCCCGGGCUCAACCUGGGAAUUGCGAUGGAGACUGCAAGGCUAGAAUCUGGCAGAGGGGGGUAGAAUUCCACGUGUAGCAGUGAAAUGCGUAGGGAUGUGGAGGAACACCGAUGGCGAAGGCAGCCCCCUGGGUCAAGAUUGACGCUCAUGCACGAAAGCGUGGGGAGCAAACAGGAUUAGAUACCCUGGUAGUCCACGCCCUAAACGAUGUCUACUAGUUGUCGGGUUUUAAUUAACUUGGUAACGCAGCUAACGCGUGAAGUAGACCGCCUGGGGAGUACGGUCGCAAGAUUAAAACUCAAAGGAAUUGACGGGGACCCGCACGAGCGGUGGAUGAUGUGGAUUAAUUCGAUGCAACGCGAAAAACCUUAACUACCCUUGACAUGGAAGGAAUGCCUGAGAGAUUGGGGAGUGCUCGAAAGAGAACCUUGACACAGGUGCUGCAUGGCGGUCGUCAGCUCGUGUCGUGAGAUGUUGGGUUAAGUCCCGCAACGAGCGCAACCCUUGUCAUUAGUUGCUACGAAAGAGCACUCUAAUGAGACUGCCGGUGACAAACCGUGAGGAAGGUGGGGAUGACGUCAAGUCCUCAUGGCCCUUAUGGGUAGGGCUUCACACGUCAUACAAUGGUACAUACAGAGGGCCGCCAACCCGCGAGGGGGAGCUAAUCCCAGAAAGUGUAUCGUAGUCCGGAUUGUAGUCUGCAACUCGACUACAUGAAGUCGGAAUCGCUAGUA